GGAGCGAAUGUGAUUUGAUACCCCACUAGACUUAUCCGUAAAACGAUGGAUAUUAGGUGUUAUGCGUAUCGACCCACGUAGAGCGGUAUAGAACACGUUAAAUAUCCCGCCUGGGGAGUACGCACCCAAAUGUGAAAAUCAAAGGAAUAGACGGGGGCCCGCACACGCGGUGGAGUAUGUGUUGUAAUUCGAUGUAACGCGAAGAACUCUACCAGAGCUUGACAUGUCUGGAACAUCGUUGAAAGAUGAAGGUGCGUUCGGGAGCGGGAACACACAUGGUGCAUGGCUGUCUUCAGCUCUUGUCGUGAGAUGUUGGGUUAAGUCUCGCACAGAGCGCAAACCUCUUAUUUAGUUGCCAUCAUUAAGUUGGGAAAUCUAAGAAGAGUGCCGGUGACAAACCGGAGGAAGGGGGGGAGGAGGUCAAAUCAGCAUACCCCCUAUGUCCUGGGGUACACACGUAUUACAAAGCUGUGGACAAAGGGCAGCAAGCUAGCAAUAGCAAGCAAAUCCCACAAACCACGGGUCACUUCAGAUAGAAGAGCGCAAAUCACAUUCUCGAAAAGGGAAUCGCUAGUAAUUGCACGUCAGCAUAUUGCACUGAAUUCGUUCCCGGGCCCUUUACACACCGCCCGUCACACCACGGAAGCUGGUCACGCCCGAAGUCGUUACUCUAACUUCUCAGAGAGGAGGAUGCCGAAGGCAGGACUGGUGACUGGGUGAAGUC
rnacentral:rRNA from 1 species